rnacentral:rRNA from 1 species
UUGCGGUUAAAAAGCUCGUAGUUGGAUUUCUGUUGAGGACGGCCGGUCCGCACUAUGUGCGUGAUCUGGUUCUGCCUCGGCAUCCUCGCGGGGAACGCUCUGCGCUUGAGUGCGCGGUGUGGUAUUCGCGACUUUUACUUUGAGGAAAUUAGAGUGUUCACGGCAGGCAAUCGCCUUGAAUACGUUAGCAUGGAAUAAUAAUAUAGGACCUUGGUUCUAUUUUGUUGGUUUCUAGAACUAAGGUAAUGAUUAAUAGGGAUAAUUGGGGGCAUUUGUAUUAACACGUCAGAGGUGAAAUUCUUGGAUUGUGUUACGACAAACUACUGCGAAAGCAUUUGCCAAGGAUGUUUUCAUUGAUCAAGAACGAAAGUAAGGGGAUCGAAGACGAUUA